rnacentral:rRNA from 1 species
AUUGACCGCUAGCGGGAUGCUUUACACAUGCAAGUCGAACGAGUGGCGGACGGGCGAGCAAUAUAUUGGAACGUGCCUAGCAUCGGGGGAUAACUACUCGAAAGAGUGGCUAAUACCGCAAACUAGUGGAGCGGCCGAUAUUGGAGUAGCUAGUUGGUGGGGUAAAGGCUCACCAAGGAAACGAUCCGUAGCUGGUUUGAGAGGACGACCAGCCACACGGGGACUGAGACACGGCCCAGACUCCUACGGGAGGCAGCAGUGGGGAAUGUUGGACAAUGGGGGAAACCCUGAUCCAGCCAUCCCGCGUGUGUGAGAAGGCCUUCGGGUUGUAAAGUACUUUUGGCAGAGAAGCGGUAUCUGCAUAAUAAGCACCGGCUAACUACGUGCCAGCAGCCGCGGUAAUAC